CAGUUGUCGGUCAUUUAUGCACCCGCUUCUGCUCCGCUGAAAGUGUCUUGGGGGAGGGCGAUCGAGGGUGGGGGUGGUCGCACUAGUGAAUGUUCCAGUUCAGUCCCACUUGCUGUCACCGUAGGGUAGCUGUGGGCUGAUUUGGCCCGAUCUACACGUACGCGGGUAUCGGGGCUGCGCCACCGGCCCAGGUACGGAGAUUACCCUACUCUGGUGGGAGGAGGCAGCGCUGGCUGCUGUGCGACGCUAGUGUAUUGACAAUUUUGCUUGUCUACCCGCUUGCGCUAGGUAGAGGAACACGACACUUUUGCUUGUCUGCCUGAUUACUCGGACACACCGACACGACAAAAUUGUGACACACGACAAAAUUGCUCUUUUGGAGUGCACCUCGGUGUGGGAGGUGCGAUGGCACUAUUGCCUUCUCGUUGUUCUUCGCUGUUGUUGAAGAGGACGGCUGGUCACCGCAUGGGCUAGCGCUUUGUUCCGCAGCGGCUGCGAUGUUCCCGUCGGUGCAGUGGUGGGUGCGCGGGCACUGCGCUAGCUCGACGAGUGCUGCUGCGCGGCUCUCGGUCCGCUCCCGUGGCUCUUCUCCCGAUCUAACCGAGGAUCUGGGGCAGUAUUUAUGUAUGUCUGGUGUAGGCCGCUCCCUCGCCGGUCCGCGCCCGCCCGGCCGCCCCCUCGCUGGUCCGCGCCUGUUUUGAUAAUCUUCCGCCGUCGUGACAUCUCUCUUGUUCUCUGUUCCAAUUCCGUGUUGCCCCCGGACUAUGUUCUGGAGUCUUAUCUGGUGGAAUGUCGUCUCCAGUCUGUUGCGCUCACAGCUCCAUCUGGGACCUAUCUGCUUGUACCUCAGCUGCAAUGGUAGAGGUCUUGUGUUGUCUCCGUUGCACUUUCAGAAGAUCCAAUGCUGGAUUCCAGGCAGAGCUGAGUUGAUAACCAGUGUCCCAGUUGAUGGGAUUUUCAGUGACUUUGAUCUCCAUCGAUUCUUUUAUGAUGCUGUCCCAAAAUCUUGGGGUCUGCGUCAAAAUAUUGGUUUUGUUGUAGUCCAUCGCAUGAUCUAGUUCCAGACAGUGUUCUGCUAUAGCAGAUUUGGUGACCUGUCUGAGUCCAGUAUGCCUCUGAUGAUCUUUGCAUCUUAUGUGGUCUGGCCAAUGUAUGACAUUCCACACUGGCAUGGUAUGCUGUAAAUGCCUGGCUUCUGAAGCCCCAAGUCAUCCUUUACACUGCCCAGUAGUGCACCAAUUUUAUUAGGAGGGCAGAACACACUUUUGAUGUUGUGUUUCCUAAGGAUCCUGCUGAUUUUAGCACAGAUUGGUCCAGCGAAUGGCAGAUAAGCUAUUUUCUUGGCCUCAUCCUGUUCUUCUUCUGGGUCCUGCGGUUGUUUGGCAGGAUGGAGGGCCUUUUGAAUGUCUCUGUUGGAAUAUCCAUUUCUUCUGAACACCUGUUGUAGACGUUCCAAUGCCAGGCUGUCAGGGUCUGACAGGAUCCGUGCCCGGUGGACCAGAGUUUUGUAGCGAAACAUUUCCUCUCCCAGUAGAUAGUGCAUAGUGUUCUCCACCUACCUUGCUUUGCUUGUUCAAUAUUGUCUUCCCAGUAGCUGUGUCCAUCUCACCUAAAUCACACUGCAGUUAAGAAGCCAGGAUCCUAGGUUAAGUUUUCCAAAAUAAAAAGUCAAGACUGUAUUCUUUGUCGAACACUUAUGACAACCACAGUGCGAUUUAUUUGUUAUCACUCUCGCACAAUAUUCACGAGUGCUUGAAUAUUUGACCGUUUAUGUUAAUACAUCAUACUUUAUAAUUUCCCAGGAUUAAAAUGAUCCUUUCUAAUUGGUUUUGAAGUUGACUGUUGGGUUUUAUUACUUAAAUAAUACGAGUGAGCUGUAUAAAUUGAAAUAUGCAGGACUAACAUAUGCAUCUGCAGUGGGAAUUCCCGACUUGUAACUGUGGCAGCCCUCUUGAACAGUAAUUUUUACCUACUACAAUUUACUUCAUUCUUAAUUAAUACAGUUACAAAGUUGAGUCUGGAGUGAUUUUAUGUAUAAAAAUCUCGGUAGCAAAAGUAUCAAAACAGAUCUCGGAAUUAUUCAGUAGUUCGGUCAAAAUUGGCACUGAAAGUCAUACAGGCUACAGGUUUAGAGUCUUAAUAUCUAUUUGACUAAUAGACUUUAGGUUAAUUUAAACACUUUGCUGGAGUCAGUAAAAUUUAGGCUUUCUUUUGGAUGCAGUCUUAUAGCUGAAUUCGAUCUAUUAGCUCAUUAAAAUUUUACUUAAUAUGUAUUGCACAAUAUAUGUCAUUGUUCAUAACGUUUAAUAGGAUGCAUUUCCAUUAAAACUAAUUAGGUCAUUACUUUCAGAAUAGACAUUAGAAUGUACUGAAAUAAUAGAUUUUAAAUUAAACUAUUUCUGAAUUCUGUGCUAUGAGGCUGAAAGCCAUAGAAUCUGUAGCCGGAAUCUGAGUAGUGAAAAUGAAAAAAAAAACAAAAGUUCAUUGCUCAACUAAGUUACUGAAGGAGAGUAAAACUAAAACAGGAUAGCGGUGGGCAACCCUACUUCGUUACACGUGGAGGGCAUCCGUGGGCCAGAAAGACAGAAGUCAGAAGAUGUGGGAUCCAGGCAGUAGGGUGGAGGAGGCAGCCGGUUGAAGUUCCACGAGUUGCUCUCGGGUGUGCAGAAUCCUCGCAUCAUCAUCGAGAAAGAGAGGUUCGUUCACAUAUUUUGUGGUAAUAGACACGCUGAGGUUGUUCUUUCAGUUUUAUGAGGGUAGCACAAUAUACUACGUAGUCGGUUGCAGUGCCACUAGGGCGGAUAUUAAACAGAAUAACGCCUUCAAUGUUCUAGAAGGCCAUCACAGUAACUUUACUGGCUGUGGGUGUUGCACUGAACUUUUUCUUUGGAGGACAGGUCGUUUGGCACCACUGAAUGAAUUGCCGUUUUGUGUCCGGUUGAAAGUGGUGAACUCGUGUUUCAUUGCCUUUGAUGACGGUAGACAAAAAAGUCACACUCGGCCUUGUAACGUACGAGCAGUUCCGUACAGGAGGUCCUCUGUAGUUCCGUACAAAGGGUCCUUCUGUGCUCUUUACAGCCUCCUGUUAGACGGGAAGUAACCCACUGGGCACACUUCUCAGAGUACCCCGACUGGUGGGUGAGCGUGUCGGCACCACCAGUGAAGACGUGCAGUCGUGCAACGGGGUGUCCGGUAGUGGACUGUCGAUCUCCUCGACUGAACGUCCGCACGUUCCAACAUUGCAGGAGUCACUGAUGUGUGUGGCUGGCCGGCACACGGGAGACGGGAUGUUUGUGUGGCCUCGUCACGAUGACGACACGCCUCGCCCGACGACUCGCCGUGCCUCUGUUCGUUGCCGGGUCUCCGUAGACGUUCCCCGAGUGCCUGUGAAUAUCUGCGUUCCUCUGGUUUUCACCGAAAGUGACUGACAGAUCCGUGCUUGGAGCACGCCUCCAUUACAGACGCCAUUUUGAAGGCUGUGUUUAGUGCCACCACCUGUUGGAUCUUCGUGCAACUACAGGGACUGAACUGGGAAUAUUCCACAGUUUUCCAUAACAAAGUCAGCACUUUUUCAACUGAAAUUGACAGAGAAAAAAAUGUGGUGCAUUACUUACUAAAUGCCCCUUUUAUAAAAUACAGGUGUGCCUAAUGGAUUAAUACAAGGUACUAAAGUAGUUAUGAAAAUACAACGCUUCUCCAUAGUAUCAGUAAUAUAUUAAAACAUUUCCAGGCCAUAAAAAUUAGUUAUCCUAAAGAUUCUGCUUUACAAAUAUUUUUCCAAAUAUAAUUUUUCGUGAAAUAAUUAAUAAUACUGUUAUGUUUCUAAAAUGUGUUUAGCUUUUUCAUAAAGAUAUCUAUAUUUUCUAAAAACUAAGUGUACACUGUCAUUAAAUGAUGUAUUUAUUUUGUAACAACUAAGUACACAGUGUCAUUUUCUCAUGGCAUAUUUUGAAAUUAUUAAACUUUCCUAACUAUGUAAGCAUCUUUUGCUUAUAUUAUGUUUCAAAAGUUUGUAAUCAUAAAAAUGUAAGUUCAUUUAGAGUUACCUGUACUCAUAAAAGCAGAAUCUGCUUUACUUAUGUUUUAUGACUAAGAAGUUUGAACAUGGUUUAAAUUCUAUUUGAGUUUUGUGUCAAAAACAACACUUCAGUAGACACUUCUUGUGAGCUUUUUCUCAUACUGCUAAUGAACUGAGCAUUUAGUGUUAGUUUCCCCAUAUGCGCCUUCAUAGAAAACACUCUUAAAUUCUAGCAGAUGAACAAUUUAAAUUUUUAAUGUUGUAAUAAAUCAGCAUGUGCAAUGCUAGUGUGAAGAAGGAUUUUCACUUUGUUAUUUAAGAGCCAGAGAAAAUGCGAUAAGCCUGAAUUGUGGACAGCACGUAUACAACGUUUUGUUACAUUGUUAUUCGAACUUUUGGUUAACACUGGCACUGUCCAAGCCGGACAAAUAUGUACUGAAAUAGCCAUGACAAAUGCUAAAAGAGUAAAGUAUUAAAAUACCAAACUCCAAGAAUGAUUUUUACAUAAUACUGUAAAGACUGACCUCACAAGUAUGAUCAAACAGUGUCAGUUCAGUGUCCAACGGACAUGUAACAAAGCAAUUUGGGAUCUCUUUACUUCUUUUCUUGUUUUGCCAUCUGCCUCCUUAAAUUCAUUUUUGAUAUAAAUUUCGGAAUAAGCUGCAUUUUCAGAAAAGAGAAAGGUUGGCCCUCGGUCUUAAGAAAUAUAGCACCAGAAGAAACUGCUGAAAAGAAAGAAUUUUGAUAUAUUCAGUUAAUUGAAUGAGUUAUGUUUUAAUUGUAAUUUCUGUAACCUAAACAUCGAACAAUGUGCAGUUUCAGCUCCUAUUAUUGUGAGGAUUUAUUAAGGCCCAAUUUUUGGCCCAGAGACAGUCCACAGUCUCUCUCUCUCUCUCUCUCUCUCUCUCUCUCUCUCUCUCUCUCUCUGUUUCUUUUUUUUUCAUUACACAGAAUGUCACUCAUGUGCCAAUUAUAACUUUCACUGUUUUAGUGAACAAAACAAUCUACAGAUAUACUAUGGUUGCACAGAGGUAGGUGUGUUUUUUUGAUUACAUUGCAUAGCCUAUACAGAGUUGUCAGUUUUAAAAAAACCUACUUUAGCUGUAAUAACUACAGAAUUAUCCACUAAAUUUUCAUGUAUGUGGAAAUACAUACUUAUAAAAAAAAUAGUUAUCAUAUGAACAAAGAAAGUGUCCCUUCAGUUUGUCAUUGAGAAUUUUCCUCGUUGCUUUCUGUGGUGUACAAAAAUUUUAACCUGCUCAUUAAAUCCAUUGUGUGUUUUUGAAAGUUGUAUAAUAUCGUCAGAUCUAUGUUUACCAAUGGGUGUCCAGUGUUUUGUGUGUUGUUACAUUGCUGAUUCGUUAUGUCUGUUAACAGUUGCGUUCAAUGUAUCUAAUUCAAAAAUUCCUGCCAGUUGUAGGUUUUACAUGUGCUUUUUUUAUAUUACUGAGUCCAGAAUUUAUCACUUUCAUUGUUUAAGAUGCAAACUAAUGUCUGUUAGUGGACAAAGCUGCUUUAAUUUUCUCUAUAACGUUCAUAUUUGGCAGUGGAGCCACUGGAACAAAUUAUAAAGGUAAACAUAAUAAAAAAAUAAUGUGAAGGUCAAUGGCAGAGCUGACAGAACAAUACGUAGCAAGCACAAACAGCAGCUGAAGUACACCACUAUUUGGACUUUAAGACAUAUGACAAACCACCCCUUUUUUAGGCCAUAACUGCUAAUGCGAUGUGCAGGAUAAUCUGGCAGGGUUGCUUAUCUUUCGUUAAUGCAUACAUCCUCAUUGAAUGAGACCUGCAGGAUGUAAUGAGUGAAUAAGUUAGUUUUCUUGUGUUCUCUAACUCACACCAAAACUUUUAGGAAAACUGGAUGUGUGGAAAACAGCUUUUAGUGCUGCCUUACAUGUCAGUGAUGUGUGAACUUGCAUUUCUGUACAAAAAAAUGUCAGUUUUUUGGUUGGUUGUCUGGAUAAAGGUUGCCAUGUAUUCUUAACAUAUCUCAUGUUGAAUUUCAUGGGAAUAAGUGAUUCCAUUCACUGCAACACUUGUAAGGAUUCUCAAAUUUAUGUGCCUAUAAACAAAAUGGUAUUUUAUUGUAAUUGUUUUCUGAAUUUCUAUCUAAAAUUUUAACCCCAUGUUUUAUGACUGGUAAUAAAAUAGCUGUUGGCUAUCCAGUGUGACAAACAGGUUAACUGUAUGGGUGUAUGUACCAACAGCAGCAGUGUCAGUUGGACUGAUGCUCGUACGUUUGAUAGUUAUAUUGGAAUGUGUGAUUUAAUUAAAUUGACUCUACAUUACCACCUGUAACAUUAUGUAAUUGUGGGAUUGGAAUCAAGUAAAUUGUGAGAUGACUUCA